CGGAAAUCGAUCGAUCGAGGGUCCAGUUCCGGAUACAUUAUUCGUUCGCCACGCAACUCCCUCGCCUGAUUCCAUUCAUGUAUUCAUUCAUCAGAGGCCUCGAUUGCGCUUGGAACCUCCGUGCCCCAUACUUACUCCUUACUCCCUACUGCCUACUCCUUACUCCCUGCUCCUUACUCCAUUGUUUACUAUCGUCGAAGAUGCGUAGUAAAAGUAGCGGCGAGCAGCGCCAGUUAACCCAGUGUCUGCGAUCUGAGAAGAUCGUCGCAAAUCGGAGGAGCGGACGAAGAAGGUUCGGACGAAAGAAAAAAGGAGAAGAAACAUCUGUCGCCACGAAGAAAUCCGGUUGCAAGCUGCAACACCACCGGCUCAAAAUGAGCAACAACACAGAGAACAUAUGAUUGAACUGCCCGAAUGCCGCAUAAAAAUGGGUAAAAAACGAAAAAUCGAAACGCACCUUUUGUGU
ensembl:ncRNA lncRNA:CR45277 long non-coding RNA:CR45277